UACGUAGGGUGCAAGCGUUGUCCGGAAUUAUUGGGCGUAAAGAGCUCGUAGGCGGUCUGUUGCGUCGGCUGUGAAAACCCGGGGCUCAACCCCGGGCCUGCAGCCGAUACGGGCAGACUAGAGUUCGGCAGGGGAGACUGGAAUUCCUGGUGUAGCGGUGAAAUGCGCAGAUAUCAGGAGGAACACCGGUGGCGAAGGCGGGUCUCUGGACAUUUCCUGACGCUGAGGCACGAAAGCCAGGGGAGCAAACGGG
rnacentral:rRNA from 1 species